AAAUAAACUUCUCCAUCAGUGACAUUAAAGCUGUAAAAGUCUCCUUCAGAUACACUGACAGGUCCGUCUUUGCUGGUCUUGAACCAGGUGAAGCGGCUGACGGGAGGCUUGGCUCUGCUGGAGCAGGUCAGGUUCACCAGGCUACCUGCUGACACCAAACCUGAUGGACUGAUGGACACUGAGGUGUUCUUGGGAGCAUCUGAGGAAAAUGAUAUCUGGCUGAACAGGUGAUGAUGAAUCCAUCAUGUUCGUCUGACAGAGUGAAGGUUGUCUGGAUUUUAGUUGUG